rnacentral:tRNA from 6 species
GCUGGAGUGGUGGAACUGGUAUACACGCCGGUCUCAAAAACCGGUGGCGUCACAGCCGCAAGGGUUCGAAUCCCUUCUCCAGCA